GUUUCAUUGGUUAUCCUCUCCGCUAUCUGCCAGUACUUACAUAGGUUGCAUUUGGACAGAAAGGUCUGGGAGGCCAGCAGCUGUAAGCAGCAGAGACAAGAAUGAGACGGUGGCUUCAGAAAAACUUCAGAAAUCUGUAAAUCUGGUUGUAGGGCAGCUGGUUGGAUUGAUAAUGCUGCAGCCCUUAAACACAAAAUGCUAGAUUGGUAUAAAACCAUUCUGAUGUAAGAUGCAUCAGCCUAUGGGACUCCAAACAGCACAGAACUGGGUCAAGAAUGCUCCCGCCAGGAAAGCCAAUGGUUACUUAAGGUUUGUCUACUCAGGGAGCUCAGAGCUGCUGAUGGAUGUUACCAAGCUUCAUGUGAACCAGCUUCAUCCAUGAAAAGGUAGCAGAAGGUGAAGUGUGCCAAAUUCAUGGCUGCUGGAAGCCACUUUCAAACUUCUAGCAAGGUGGUCUGUCCAGCUUUUAUUGCCACAGCUCUGUAUUGGUUACAGCUGCAAGGAAAGGAAAUGUAUACCUGCCACUUGAAGUACCCAGAUGCAGGACAGACAUCUUGAGAGGACAUGCUCAAACAUUUCUGCCUAUUUUCAAGUGAGAAUGUUUACCUCUUGCAGUUCUGGAACUUCCAUGGCAGACGAGGAAAAGAAACUGAAGACAAUGAGAUGAAGGAAGGAUUAUUCUCCUUUAACCAGGUUGUAACACAAACAUUCAGAAACUAUUUGGUACUUCCAUUGUCACAGGAACCACGUGACCACAGAUGAGAAUAACAUAUUUCCAACCAAAUUCUGUAACAACAAGGAGUAAUAAGCUGAUGGUAAAACAUGAAUCAUUUAGUCUAUAUAAAUACAUGAUUUUAGCAUGGGUGCGUUGUGGAAAGCUAUGUCACAAGUGUAUGAUGUAUAUUGAAAGAUGAUGGAUAAUUUCACUGCAAUUAUUUGUUCUUUUUCAGAAGCCAUCUUAUCAUUUUCUGUAUUUUUCAUGAUUCUCAGCAGUGUAAAUGUUAGACUGAAUUAGGAAAAUCAGCCAAUUCUGGAUCAGGAUUGAUGUAGCAAGGUCACGAAGCAUUUCAACCGUGCAUGAAAAAGAGCUGGUAAUGUUGGAAUGUUAGUAUAUGGUAUUCAAUUAAGUGCUACAUAUUGAAGGAGGUAAAAAGAAACUAUUGUAUUUGUAAUGGAGUCACACUUCACUUUUUCUGCAACUUACCAGUCAUUAUCAAGCUCUGAUGGCAGAUGAAGGAGCCAGUUUCUUCUAGUCUUUAGCAGAAAAGAAUGAAAACUCUUUCCUAUAACCAAAUCUCAUAGUUUUAAAAGUCACAGUACUGAUUAACCCGUAUGUAUUAGCUUUUGUCAAGCCCACAUGUAUUAGCUUUAGUCAUCUGAAUUUUUCUUGGUCUUUGCUGUAUAUCUUAGACUUAAAUUUUAUUUUACCACCUAAUAUAAUGUUAUCAAAGCUUUAGAUUGCAAUAUCAGUGUGUCUGCAUCUUGUUGAAUAAGUAUGAACUAUUUCCAAUGUGACUUGUGAGCCUGGGACCAAACAGGGCAACAGAAAAGAGGAAGGAAAAUAUGUGAUGGCUGAGAAAACUGUAACAAGUCCUUACAAAGUUGAAGAUGUGAAGUGGAUAUGAUACAAACCUGUCAUUUUAUUCUGGUCAGAAAACUCGUGGGAUGGAUGAGAAAUAGGACAUGUUUGAGCACUGGAACUUUUUUUUUUUUUAAAACAAACUAUGAGAUGAAUUCUGUGAAGAAAAAAGGAGUUAGUCAGUAUCACCUCAUUUGUCAUUCCUGUAGAGCAAAGAAGAACGUGUUACUUCAGCUCUUCUGAAACCAAGCUGCAGCAUGAAAUUCAUACAGGUCCCUGGAAGAUCUAUGUCUCCACCUAUGGAUAGGAAUAUCUGCAAGCACUUAUAUUACCUGUACAGCUGUCUGUCUUCAGCACUGUUUUUUGGUGUCUGUAUUAGAAAAAAUACAGCUAUAGACUCAUACACAGUAAUUUGACAACUCUAUCUGGGAUUUUGUAAUCCAUAAAAUUCUAUGUGAAUAGGAAAAUACUGAUAAAUUUCAGGAGGUGCCGAAGUAUAGUCCAACUCAUUUUAACAACCGAGGCUGUUAUGUAACAGGACUUUUCCUUGUAUGUCCUUUUUCUAAAGGAAAUAGAAGAUUUUCUGCCUCACUGUGGAGAGGAUCAAAAACUGAGCCAGGUUACAGAGCUUAUGGUGAAGUGAGGAGUUUUGUUCACUUCAAUCCCAGAACCACCAGAUUCCAUCAAAGUUACUAUCACCACAGUGGUGGUGGUAAUAUUUCAACACUUAGUUGAGGAUUGUGUCCCUUAAAGUCAACAAACUUGUAGGAUAGUAUUAAUAUAAUCUUUAAUACUCAUUAAAACUGAAAAUAUGGCCUUUUGAAAUAAUACUGGGUUCUUUCCUGAAAUGGUUAUAGUGCUAGAAGCAUUAUUUGACAGUAGCAAAAUGUCUUAUUGAUGUGCCUUUAAAAGAAAGUUUUACAGAAAGCAUUUUAAUGCACUUAGCCAUUGAAAAAUUUACUUGCUGUGCAGUUUUUGAAUAACAUAUAUUGAAUAUAGUAUUUAUGAUGAGAUUUAGAACCAGGAUGUAUUGGUAUGUAGAUGAAAAUUACUUAUGCUGUGUUUUUGCAAUUAUUCUCUGGCAUAAAUCUGGAAUGAAGUCCCUAGAAAUUCCAACAUAAAAAUCUGAAAUAUAAUAUUAAUAACCUGAAAUUGAGUAGUGCUCUUGAACUGUAGUAGAAAUCUUGUGUCCUCAAUUGUAAUUAAUUUCAUUCAAUUUCAGUAUACAUGAGAGAUGAAUGUGAUGGAAGACAGUAUCAAUAAGUAAUAAAUGAAAUAGUAUCAAUAAGAAAUAAAUGGAAUAACUGAUAUUCCAGAUCUUUACAGACAGUGCUAAUCUUGUUGCAACAACCUCAGGCAUAGAAGGAUACUAAUUAAUGACUCAAAUUAAUAAAUUUGAGAAUUUACUUUAAAAAUAAAUAAUCCUAAAGCUUUUUGCUUAAAAAAAAAUAAUCGUUCUUAAAAAUUAAAUCUCUAAAUUUCUGCUAAUUGAUUCACAUGCUUGGCUAUAUUUUAUUAUUCACUUUCUGAAUAACAAAAGCAUUGGAUAGUGAAAAUAGUUGUAAGAAGCAAGAGGAGAAAUUAUUUCUUGUGCCAGUUGACUAUCAUUUGAUGACUAAAAAAUUAUCAAUGACAAGGAGGAAGCACAAACCUGCUUAUACUGGUACUUCAAAAUGUUACAACUUGAGUUGUCCAUCUGUUGUGCUGAAAGAAGAGUUGAUUUUUGCUCCAUGUGCUAUUAUUGCCAUUAUAAUAAAGCUGUACAAACAGAUAUGUAAUAUUGAUUAACAGAAAAAGAACAAGAGACAGGGCUAUAGAAGGAUAUUCAGACAUCCAAGGUAGGAUAUCAAUUUGCGACACUCUACCUGUCUCCACAGCACAAAGAGGGAAGAGAACAUGCUUCUCUCUUUUAGUCAAGUGUAGGCUGGGUAGAUGGCUACUUAGAAACUCUUGAGUUUCAUGCAUUCAGUCUGCUUGUUCCAGUCUGGCACUCUUUCUAAAGUGUCUUUCUGCUUUAUUUAUUGUGUCAGCCAGAAGUGGUAACGUUAAUGCUCUAUUUUAAUUUCUGAAAUAAAACAAUCCUCAAGUUUCUUCAUAUGGUUCCCGUAGGCUCUCAAUAUUACUCUGAAACUUACUGCCUCUUACUGCCUUGGCAGAUAUCAAUAUUGAUUGUGAAGAGUUAAAUGAAAUGGCCAGGAUGCCUUUGGCACAUUGUUCAUAGUCUCACCUAAGCAGACAUGAAAAACAGUAAGUAGAAGAGACUUGCAAUCAUACAUGGGCAAAAAAAGUGGCCACUGCGCCUUUCACUCCCUCAUGAAGUUUACUACCAGACAAAAGAUAAAUUUGAGUUGUAUGUAGUAUGCAGACUUUUGACUGGCCAAACAAAAAAAAAAUUCACCUUAGAAAACCUAAGUCAUCCUUCUGAGUCGCAAAACCUAAUCAAAAACUUUACACACACAUAUAUAUGUUAUAAUUAGCACAGAACUGGACAUAAGUUCUUUUUUUAUCUCUAUAAUUAGAGUAUGAUCACUUAAUUUGAAUUUCCCCUGGAUGUAUUUUUAUAGCACUUGGGCCAUUCAGGUUUGUUUCAGGUUUGUUUUUUUUUUUUCCUUGAUUUUUUUUGUGUCUAUUGUUGCAUUGCUUUUUUUUUUUCCUGUUGCUGUUGUUUUGUUUUCUACUUAGUUUAUACUUUGCUAUUUUUAGUAAUAUUUUGCCAUUAUUUUGCCAUUGCUAAUGAUAUUAACUUUGAAAUUGACUUGGCCAGCUGAAGAUAGGUCUAAGUUAAUUUUCUGUAGAUGGGAAGUUGUUUUACAGUAUGAUGGAAAUUGAUCUUUAUUGAGAAAGCCUGUCUAAGUUCUCUUUUUGAAGGAUUAAUAUAGGAGUACUUUUGAUUGCUAUUUCAUGUAAUUCAACCUUCACGCAUGGCAAGCUGACAGAUGAAAGCUUCAAACUCCCUCCUGAAUUAGAGAGAGAUACUAGAAUCCCGUUUUCCUUAUCUGGGUCUUCACUUUCCUGGCAAACAGUGUCCUACAAUGGUGAAGAAUGCAGGCCACUGUUAACACAGUCUCACGAAGAAAUACAACUUGAUAAACAGAUUUUAUAAAUAUCUUAUCAUUUUUCUAAUACAGAAACAUAAGAAAGUAGGGCUAGAUGGGAGAUCUGUGAUAAUCUCACCUGUGCCAGCACCCGCUCCUGAGGAGUCUAAAUGUCACAGUGCUGCCUGUAUGAGGUAUUUAAGGGUCACUGGUUAGAGAACUGAACAGAGGAAACAUUUUUUUAAACCUAUAAAUGCAAAGAGUUUCUUUUUGCUGCAUUUUUGAAGAUAAACUUCUCAAAGAAAGAACUAAAAAAAAAAAAAAGUGGAUAUUAUUAGUGGAGAUAGCAGGAAACUGAGCAAGUGGAUCUGGAGAUAAAAUGAAGGCAUGGACAGUGGCAGGGUAGUCAGGGAGCAUCACUUUAGGGCAAGAUCAUGAGAUGUGACUGGUGGCAAAAAAUAAAAAUAGUAACUGUAUUCAGGAUGGAAGUAUAUGAGAAUAGCAAAUUAGCAAAUGCCUGGACUGAAAAAAAGGUUAAAACCUAGCAGGCAUGAAUAGGAGAAUUUUUAUUAAAAAAAUAUAAGAAAGAUUAAAAAAAAAAAUGUUAAAAUAUAUUACUUGCUUCCAAGAUACCUCUUCUGGAAGACAAGAAUUCUUCAAAUAAUAAAAAUAGCAGAAUAAUUACAAACCAGAAUUAUGUAUCUGUUCACUGUUUAAAAAAAAUUGGAGGAAUAACAAAGAAAACCCUUAAGGAAACUCAUAUCAAGAGCUCAGAAGAAGAAAUCUUAUUUAUAAAUAUAUAUAUUAAAUCAAUAUAUUCCCUAUAUGAGGGGAUAAAGUGAGGUUCUUUGUGUUUUCUCUAUGUAAAUUGCCUUCAUAGGGGAAAAUUAUAUCUGUGCCUUCUCUUUGAACUCGGUAAUAUCCUCAGAGUCAGUUAUCACAGAGGGAAGGGGCUUCUUCACAGUCAUCUUACUAAAGGAAUUACAGAGCUCUUCAAGUAGGUGACAUGCUUUUGGGCACUGUAACGCCCAAAUCAAUAAUAUUAAAUAGCAUAUACUAUAAAAAGGAAUCCUGUUACAAAUGGAUUUCUGUUCUAAAACAGAUUACAUCUAAUCUUUUAGCAAGUUUCAUCCUUAUGAGACAGUCUUUAAUAGAAGUAUUAAGCUUGCUCAAGCUCUAUAGCAUUUCUUUAAUGCCAGCAACUAUAAGGCUUUUUUUUUUUUGCUCAAGAUUUUAGGAAAGGAUCUGGAAUUUCCGGUAUUCUUUUGGAGCUUAUUCAGAUCCGCUGUCUUUUAGUGCUAAAAAGCGUUUGGCUUUUUUUCCUCAAAAAUGUUUUCUGCAGCUGCCAUUGGAGUCCAGUGUUACACCUCCCCUUUCAAAUCACUAAUAACCUGCAACUAAUGUGUGUCAUUUCUAUCUUUAUUUGAAAAGAAUAUUUUAUGCAUGGAUACAUCCACUCAUACAUACAGAGGAAGAAAGUUGGAACGUUGUAAAGUGGUUCUCUCAUUCAACCUUAAUACACAUACCAAUCAAUUUAUACCUAUGUUUUCAAAUGCAAUGCAUUUUUCUAUGUUACACACAAACAAUAAAUGGUUUUUUUCAGACCUUG